rnacentral:rRNA from 1 species
AUUGAACGCUGGCGGCAGGCCUAACACAUGCAAGUCGAACGAGACGCGGACGGAGGACCAAUGCCUGGGCAACUGCCCGAUGGAGGCGGACAACUACUGGAAACGGUAGCCAAUACCGCAUACCAUCGGAUGUGUCAGGAUGGGAUUAGCUUGUGGUAGGGGUAACGGCUCACCUAGGCGACGACCUCUACCUGGUCUGAGAGGAUGACCAGCCACACUGGAACUGAGACACGGUCCAGACUCCUACGGGAGGCAGCAGUGGGGAAUAUUGGACAAUGGGCGAAAGCCUUAUGCAGCCAUGCCGCGUGUGUGAAGAAGGCCUUCGGAUUGUAAAGUACUUUCAGUGGGGAGGCGUUACUCGCAGAAGAAGCACCGGCUAACUCCGUGCCAGCAGCCGCGGUAAUAC